ACAGGCCAGUUGAAGUUCUGGUCCUCCUCUGGAUCCAACAAGUGGUACCAGAAGUCCACAAAUCCCAAGAUUAUAUAUGCUCAGGUUCAGGUGGGAAUGUCCAGUACCUCCCCCAGGGCGGGGAGUUCCACAAUGGGUGUCAGGACAGCAACA